GGGGCUGACUUGGAUUUCGACAGAUUUCUUGUCGCACAGAUAGCAUGCCAAGUGCUACUUGUAAAACAGCAACAAAAAUAACUGUAAACAACACAGAUUACGCUCCAGCUUACGCUAAAGUUGCGUGAGUUAAUCUCCUUUUGGAGCUGGACUGAUUAGAAUUUCUAGCGUUUUAAUCACUCCAUAACCUUAAGCUAGACGCUUUUAAAAGGUGGUUCGCCUUUUAAACUAAGAAACAAGAACUCUUGAAACUAUCUCAAGGUUUUAGAAAGUUGGACCAGAGCUAGUUUUAAGGCUAAAAAACCAACCAAUUUUCUAAGCAUUGUAGAAGUUUGUGUUUAGGACAAGAUUUUUGGACUGGGGUUCGAUUCCCCACAGCUCCACCA
rnacentral:tmRNA from 1 species